rnacentral:rRNA from 1 species
GACGAACGCUGGCGGCGUGCCUAAUACAUGCAAGUCGAGCGAACCAAUAAGAAGCUUGCUUUUUGUUGGUUAGCGGCGGACGGGUGAGUAACACGUGGGUAACCUGCCUGUAAGACCGGGAUAACUCCGGGAAACCGGUGCUAAUACCGGAUAGAUUAUCUUUCCGCAUGGAGAGAUAAGGAAAGAUGGCUAUUGCCAUCACUUACAGAUGGGCCCGCGGCGCAUUAGCUAGUUGGUGAGGUAACGGCUCACCAAGGCGACGAUGCGUAGCCGUCCUGAGAGGGUGAUCGGCCACACUGGGACUGAGACACGGCCCAGACUCCUACGGGAGGCAGCAGUAGGGAAUCUUCCGCAAAGGACGAAAGUCUGACGGAGCAACGCCGCGUGAGCGAAGAAGGUCUUCGGAUCGUAAAGCUCUGUUGUUAGGGAAGAACAAGUAUCGGAGGAAAUGCCGGUACCUUGACGGUACCUGACGAGAAAGCCACGGCUAACUACGUG